rnacentral:rRNA from 1 species
UACGUAGGGUGCGAGCGUUAAUCGGAAUUACUGGGCGUAAAGCGUGCGCAGGCGGCGCGUUAAGACAGGUGUGAAAGCCCCGAGCUUAACUUGGGAAUUGCGCUUGUGACUGGCGUGCUGGAGUGUGGCAGAGGGAGGUGGAAUUCCACGUGUAGCAGUGAAAUGCGUAGAGAUGUGGAGGAACACCGAUGGCGAAGGCAGCCUCCUGGGCCAGCACUGACGCCCAUGCACGAAAGCGUGGGGAGCAAACAGG